rnacentral:rRNA from 1 species
GAGAGUUUGAUCCUGGCUCAGAUUGAACGCUGGCGGCAGGCCUAACACAUGCAAGUCGAGCGGUAGCACAGAGAGCUUGCUCUCGGGUGACGAGCGGCGGACGGGUGAGUAAUGUCUGGGAAACUGCCUGAUGGAGGGGGAUAACUACUGGAAACGGUAGCUAAUACCGCAUAACGUCGCAAGACCAAAGUGGGGGACCUUCGGGCCUCAUGCCAUCAGAUGUGCCCAGAUGGGAUUAGCUAGUAGGUGGGGUAACGGCUCACCUAGGCGACGAUCCCUAGCUGGUCUGAGAGGAUGACCAGCCACACUGGAACUGAGACACGGUCCAGACUCCUACGGGAGGCAGCAGUGGGGAAUAUUGCACAAUGGGCGCAAGCCUGAUGCAGCCAUGCCGCGUGUGUGAAGAAGGCCUUCGGGUUGUAAAGCACUUUCAGCGGGGAGGAAGGCGGUGAGGUUAAUAACCUCAUCGAUUGACGUUACCCGCAGAAGAAGCACCGGCUAACUCCGUGCCAGCAGCCGCGGUAAUACGGAGGGUGCAAGCGUUAAUCGGAAUUACUGGGCGUAAAGCGCACGCAGGCGGUCUGUCAAGUCGGAUGUGAAAUCCCCGGGCUCAACCUGGGAACUGCAUUCGAAACUGGCAGGCUAGAGUCUUGUAGAGGGGGGUAGAAUUCCAGGUGUAGCGGUGAAAUGCGUAGAGAUCUGGAGGAAUACCGGUGGCGAAGGCGGCCCCCUGGACAAAGACUGACGCUCAGGUGCGAAAGCGUGGGGAGCAAACAGGAUUAGAUACCCUGGUAGUCCACGCCGUAAACGAUGUCGAUUUGGAGGUUGUGCCCUUGAGGCGUGGCUUCCGGAGCUAACGCGUUAAAUCGACCGCCUGGGGAGUACGGCCGCAAGGUUAAAACUCAAAUGAAUUGACGGGGGCCCGCACAAGCGGUGGAGCAUGUGGUUUAAUUCGAUGCAACGCGAAGAACCUUACCUGGUCUUGACAUCCACAGAACUUUCCAGAGAUGGAUUGGUGCCUUCGGGAACUGUGAGACAGGUGCUGCAUGGCUGUCGUCAGCUCGUGUUGUGAAAUGUUGGGUUAAGUCCCGCAACGAGCGCAACCCUUAUCCUUUGUUGCCAGCGGUUAGGCCGGGAACUCAAAGGAGACUGCCAGUGAUAAACUGGAGGAAGGUGGGGAUGACGUCAAGUCAUCAUGGCCCUUACGACCAGGGCUACACACGUGCUACAAUGGCAUAUACAAAGAGAAGCGACCUCGCGAGAGCAAGCGGACCUCAUAAAGUAUGUCGUAGUCCGGAUUGGAGUCUGCAACUCGACUCCAUGAAGUCGGAAUCGCUAGUAAUCGUAGAUCAGAAUGCUACGGUGAAUACGUUCCCGGGCCUUGUACACACCGCCCGUCACACCAUGGGAGUGGGUUGCAAAAGAAGUAGGUAGCUUAACCUUCGGGAGGGCGCUUACCACUUUGUGAUUCAUGACUGGGGUGAAGUCGUAACAAGGUAGCCG